rnacentral:rRNA from 1 species
UGGGGAAUCUUAGACAAUGGGGGCAACCCUGAUCUAACCAUGCCGCGUGAGUGAUGAAGGCCUUAGGGUUGUAAAGCUCUUUCAGCUGGGAAGAUAAUGACGGUACCAGCAGAAGAAGCCCCGGCUAACUCCGUGCCAGCAGCCGCGGUAAUACGGAGGGGGCUAGCGUUGUUCGGAAUUACUGGGCGUAAAGCGCACGUAGGCGGACCAGAAAGUUGGAGGUGAAAUCCCAGGGCCCAACCUUGGAACUGCCUUCAAAACUAUUGGGCUGGAGUUCGGGAGAGGUGAGUGGAAUUCCCGGUGUAGUGGUGGAAUUCGUAGAUAUUGGGAGGAACACCAGUGGCGAAGGCGGCUCACUGGCUCGAUACUGACGCUGAGGUGCGAAAGCGUGGGGAGCAAACAGGA